rnacentral:siRNA from 1 species
GCAGCUGACGGUUUAUGUUCUCCA